GAACAUGCCAGCGUUGAGGAUCAAGUCCCACUCCCAGAAGGAUAUGAUCUUAAUCCCUUGCAGACGGACAUUGUACCCUUGGUCUGCCAAGAAGGAACAGCGAUGCUGUGUGCGCUGCUGCAGCUGUGCCCCCAGCACCUGCAGCAUCUCAUAUGAAGCUCAUUCCUCAUCUUUCUCUCCAGUGGAUCCUAAAAAAGCAGCAGGUGCUGCAGGAAGAGCCACAGGUGCCGGGACCAGCUGCAGGUUUAGGGCCAGGCUGGGCUGGCAGCCCCACUCUGGCAGCACAGGCUCACCCCGGCACUCCAGGAAGCGGAUCUCCAGCACUGGCAUGUGGGUUUUCAUGUCCCGGAGGAUGCAGACAUUCUGGUAGCUGUUCCUGCACACAGCACGGAGAGGGAUGGUGGAGCCACAAGGCACAGACACCAGCGAGGUGGCCAGCGAGGCACAGGCCACUGUGGCUCCCCAGCCGAGGAUGCGCUGCUACCCAUGGUGAAAGCCCCCCCAGCCUCACCAGGGCUACAGCAGGAGGGGCCCAAGCAGAGAGAAGAGGCUGUCAGAGGCACAGAGACAUUCUGGAGAAGGUGGAGGCCACAUCCAAAGAGCCACUAAAGAGCACAAAUUCAAAGCAGUACAGAAACACAAGCUAGCUGAGAGCAUGUCACUGUUCUUGGGGGGUCCUAGCACAUCUCAUAAGGGCAGAACCAUCCUUCAAGCAGAGCUGGUCAUCCAAGGGUUUUUGAAGGAAAUGGGGAUUUGUGGAGAUGAGCAAUUUACUAAGUGUAUUUUCAAAGCCUUUUUCAAGGUCCCAUCAAAGUCCUACGGGCCCAUAGGGAAAAACCACUGCAACUAAGCAGACAGAGGGAGGAGUUGGCUCCCACAGCUGCAAAGGACACCUUGGCGGUCUCAUGGGUGCUUCUUCAAAGACAGAUCUCACUGCUCAGCCAAAACAGGCAAAGGGGCAAGUUUUGGGGAAGGUGAAGGAGAUCUUUGCACUCCUGAGUAAACUCCUGCCUGCCUCGAGAAGGAUGCUCAGAGCCAGAGUGAAGACAGGGACAGGAAGCUCCCCAGGAUUUCUUGGCUAUAGCAUGGCAGAGAUGCUCAGAGGGGUGACAGCAGUGGCAUGUGUCCCCAGAGGUGAGGAGGAGGAGGCAGAAAGUCACCAGGCAGAAGGAGGCACACUGCAGACCAGCUGCCACAGCAUAGGUGAGGAGCAGGAGGAGAUGAAGGUGCUCGGCUGGCACAUGAAGGUGAGGGACCACCACACUUGUGGGGACAGAUGUAGCCUGCACCCAGGCAGUCCCAACCCUUGGAGGGGCAUUGUCACUGGCAAGUAACUCAGGACCAACCCCAGCCCUUUCCUUAGCACCUGCUCAGGAUGCAGAGACAGCUCUGGAGUUCAGCAUAAGCUGAACCCAGACUGCUCCUUGCUCAUUACUCACUCGUUAAUUAGGACUGUUCUCAGGUGCUGCAGCCUGUUCAGUGUCCCCCCAUACACAGCCACCCGCCUGGGUAUAUAGGAGUUGCACUGCCCAUCCAGCAUCAGCCACAGCCUCCUAGGGAUGAGAAGAGCAAGGCACAGUGUUCUCCUCCCGUCCUGAGCUGCCUGGGCACAGAGGUGCCCCCAGAAUUCUCCCAGGCCUGGGGGUAAGGCUGUGUCUUCCUGGGGUGCCUCUGGCAGCAGCUGUCCCUCACUUCAACCCCAAGUCCCCAGCUGCAGCUGGGGGAAAGCUGGGUUGAGGAGGAAAUGGGUGCUUUGUCCUGCACCCUGCCCAUCCCUGGCACAGCUGCUGACAUGGAGGGGAACACCCCGAGGUCUCACUUGACAAUGGCUCCUUUCUUCAUUUUGAGCCGCACCCAGUGCUGCCCUGGGGGCCCAUUGCUCUCCCAGAAGGUGUUUGUCUGGUUGUCUGUCAGAUGGGCUGCAACAUACUCCUCCUGCAAGAGUGCAGCAGGGGGAGGAAGAUAAGCAUCCUUGGGCACACCAAGACCACCACUGAGAUGGGUUCUGUGGGUCCAGAAGAGGUCAGGACCAGGCCAGCCCCUUGGUUUCUUAGGCUGCAGGUGGAUGGUGGCUCCUGCACAGAGCAACUGGGCAUGGCCACAGACCCCUUGCAGUGCCCCAGAGACACAGGGGGGUUUUGCUCCAGAUGCCCAACUCCCGGCGGCUUUGCUAGGGCAGCAAAACCCCACCACCAUCCCCUGCCCCUCACAGAGGGGACAGCCACCACUGGCCACUCCUCCCCGCAGCUGCAGUGAUGCUCAUGUGUCUCAUGCUGAUUUUAGGCUGCAGAGGAGCCCCACUACGCACCGUCUGUGAGGAGACCUCAAUGCUGCUGAUGUGCUCCUUGGUGCAGUCCACGUGCUGCAGCUGCUUCUCGCUGUGAUCAUACAGGAAGCGCCCCAGCUCCAUGUCAUGCUCGUAGCUCCAGCCUGGGGGCACAGACCUGCAGGGAGUCUCUGUGUUAACGGGAUGAGGAGACCAAACUGCACCCCAAACCUGCCCACCAGCAGCGUGCAGGUGCCCCAGUUCAGACUGGCAACACUGUCUCGUGGUCACCAACUCGGGAUGGUGACUGGCACCUGUCCCUGCAGCAGGCAGAUGGCACAGCUGUAUCUCAUCACCAGCACGCCAGGGGUUUAUGGCCACUCCAGCCCAGUGGGAAUAGCAGCACAUGGUCGCUCCAAUGCUCCACGGAGCAAAGGCCAUCUCUACUUGAGCAGUGUCGAGAGGUACCACUGUAAAAGGCUUCUCAUGGCACCCACCCUCCCCAGUCCCCAGCCUGAAGCCAGUCCUGGUCCUGCAGGCAUGUCCAGGCCCUGGCUGGCUGCCCCUCAGGGUGCUGCAGACCCACUCUAGGAGAUGCACUCAUACCGAAACUUCUGCACGGCGGCCUCAUCCUGCUCUAUGAGUCUGGGCAUCUCUCCAAGGUGCAUGGAGUAGGUCAGGUCCACCACGUGUUCCCAGCUGGAGCAGCAUCAGCAGAGGAGUCGUACAAGGGAAAAGAUGGGUCAGUGCUCAGUGUGCCCAAGCAUUACUGCCUUAGCCUGGAGUGGAGGCAGCAGUGGUGGAGGACUGGGGGUGACACCCAGGGGCUGCAGGAACAGCUGUGGGAGGGAUGAGGGUGUCCCUGCACCCAGGUACAGGCUGGGACAGAGCAGGGGAAUCCAGCCCUGCAUAUGGCCUUCCAUCACAAAUCAAAUCAAAUUUGAGCUCUCUCAUCACUGCACUACCUCCACGACAUUGCUCAGCCCAAAUCCGAGUGCCCUGGAACCCCUGGCAUCUUUAUCCUGUGCAGGCGCUGCCACAAGCAAACAGGAUUAGCCUGCAAGAGGGCACCCACCUGCCCACCGGUGGCUCGGUGGGGGUGUGUCCCACCAGCGCUGGAGAGAGCGAGAGGGCUGUGCUGGACAUGCCCAAGGGAUUUGGGAUGGCAGGGUCGCGUAUCCUCUGUGGGUACCGGCCACACGCGUCUCCAGCCCCCACAGCGCAGCCCAGUCCCCGCCCGGGACGACGGCUGAGGCCAUACCUGACAGCAGGUCUGUAAUCAACCCCCAGCGUCUCGUGCUGCCACUGGAUCCUCUGCACGGAGUCAACCGGGACCAACUUAUCUCCUCCCUCUCCGAACCUCUGCGCCAGCACCCAGCCCUCUGCCAGGCCAUGGCUGCCCGUGUACUCCUCCAGCUGCUCCUGAAGGUACAUCCCGGUCUGUCAGCGCCGUGUCAGGGACAGCGGCAUCCCGCGGGUGGUUCCCGGUGCCGCCGUUACCUUGCUGAGCUUGACCCAGAGCCCGGCGCCGUUGCAGUACUCCUCGCCGGUGGCGCGGAGGCAGCCGCCCUUCCGCACCUCGAUGGUGGCCCGCGCCGCCCGCUUCCCGCCCCGCGCCGGCCCCGGGCUGUCCCACACGCUCAGGAGGCUGCGGGCGGCGGCGGCGGCGGCGGCGGCCGCGGGGUCUUUGCAGAUCUUGUACUGCACCUCCUUGGGCACGUAGCAGAGCGCGGCGGGCAGCGCCCGGGCGCGGCGGAAGCACUCGCUGCACUGCAGCAGGAACCGCAGCCGGCCCAGCACCUGGUGCGGCGCCUCCCCGCCCGCCCGCAUCGCGCACCGGGCACCGGCUCCGCUGCGCCCCGGGCUGUCCCGACUGCGGCCCGGCGCUGCCCGCCCCGGAGUGACCGCGGGGCCGGUUCGCCUCCGGCGGUGCCGCCGCGCCCGUCUGUCUCCGGGGCCGCCCCGCCUCGGGCAGCCCUCGCUGCCCGGUCGCCGCCUCCUCCCCGGGCGGCUUCCGCUCCGCCCGUGUCCGCCGGCACGUCCCAGCCCGAAAUCCGUGCGGGGCCGCAAUCCCAGCUUUGGGGCCUCCGCUAUCCCCCCUUUGCCAAGACGUGACUGUGUUACGCCCACCCCAGUCCCUCACUUCUCGGCAGGAGCUGACUCAGGUCACAGGCAUCCCCUCACCCCACGGCUUAGGACUCUGCUUCCUCCCGGCUUCCAACAUCUUUGUCACUGCCGGCAUCCCCGCAAGCAAAGACGGGGUCCCUGUGGUGUCAGGGCACAGGGCUACUUCUCCAGCCUGGAUAGGGAAAAAAGGGCAGCAGGUAUCCUGCUAUGGGGAGAACCAGCUCCCGGCUAGCUGGGGGACAUAUUCCUGCCCCAGGCAGGGGGACAUAUUCCUGCCCCCGGCAGGCUGGACCCCGGUGGGGAUGCUCCAGCAUCAUCUGGGGAGGAUGACAGGCUUCCUGACCCAGGAGCAGCUUUACCCCGGGCAGCAGUGGCAUCCUGGCAGCAGGAGCAAUGCUAUGACACCCAGCAGUACCCAACCACCCAGAACACUGGCAGUGUGUCACCCCAUGUCACACCUGCCUGUUACAUACCACGGCAGGGUGGUGGCAGAGAGCAACUCAGCUCCACCCCACACUUCCUUAAUUUCUUCAGGUUGGGCACUACAGGCCACAUUUAGGGAUCAUGAAACAACCAGCCUGGCAGAGCUCAAAGGUCCCUGCACUGUUCUGGUGCCGGACUGCUCUCCUGGCAGGUCAGAGUCCGGUUCCAUCCCUGGCUGCAAAGGCAGGGUGCAAACUGAUCCAACAGCUGUCACCCCCGCAGCGUUAUCUGUUGAACAGGCGUGACUGUGCCUCAACACAGUAAUGGGCACCCGCCUUGCCAGGAGCAAAGUGCCCUAAACCACAGUGUGAGAGAAAUGCAGACUUCUGCUUUGCUUCUGCCUGCAGUUACCACAGCCAGGAGGGUCCUGUGCCCUCCCUCUGCAGCCACAUCACCCUGUAACUCUGGUUGCAGAGCUGCUGCAAAGGGUUGAGCCAAUUAAUACUCUGAGUCACUUCCAUGACACCACUUUGUGUGCAAAGGAGACCACAGGGCCAGUUUCCACUUCACCUCCAGCUGCCUCUCAUGACACCAGUCUCCCCUGCUGUUUAGAAUCACAGAAUCAUUUAGGUUGGAAAGGGCCUCUAAGAUCAUUGAGUCUAACUGUAAACCCAGCUCUGCCACGUUCAUCACUAAACCAUGUCCCUGAGUGUCACAUUCACUGUUUAACCCAACAGAAGGACACAGGAGCCCGAGCCAGACCACACCAAUCACCAGAAAGGUCAGGAGCAAUUAGUUUGUUCAUUUUAUUUUAGAUCCUACAUGAGGUAGGGACAGACAGAACCUGUCAAACUACUUACAGUUUGUCAUACUCCAGGGUAUUAGUGGAAUAACAAGAACAGCUAGACUACAUGAGUGUUAUUAAUCACCUGAAACUAUUCUGUGACAAUUCUGAUGGCAUCAGUCCCUCCUCCAGCUCAUCCCUACCCACUCUGUAGAGCUGCAGCUCUGGCACACAGAUACUCCUCAGCAGCACAGGGGCACUGGCACUUUUCUCAGGAUGGCAUUGGCUUGAAAAUUGAUCUCCACGGACUUCAGACUGGUUGAUGGGGUGAAGAUGCACAGCCUCUGGUUCCUGGCACCCAGGAGGGCUCCCUCACCCUGGCCACAUCCAGAAGGAGUCAAGGGCAUUGGCAUUUGACUUGUGUCUUGCCAAACAUGGUAGGUGACAGUUCCUACCCACACCUUUAGAGAUCAGAGAAAAAAUGUGACCCAGCACUGAAAAACACCUACCUUGGGCCCCUGAGAUUGGCCAGAGUUGAGUCAGGCUGACCUUUUCCACAAUUCACUGGGCUGUCACAGCAGAAAUUCAAUUUGCGACUGGCUUUAAAACACCACAGAUGAGAGAGGACCAUGCAGAGGAGAUUCAGGCCACUUCCCAGCUCCCCCUUCCCAGAUCACCUUUGCACAGCAAACUCAACAGCGUGAUCUGUAGGUUAUCCUGGCAUUGUCCUUCCUCAGCAGCCACGUUUGUCCAGACUCUCUGACUGUGCACAAAACGAUCUCACCCGAGACCUCAGUGAUGUGAUCGGCUCUUCCUCCUACUAGAAGGGCUUUCACAGGUCUCCUCAGCCCAGUACAGCCAGUGCCAUUUUUCUCAGUAUGCUUGUAGGGGUUAGACCCAGACCAUCCUGGGUGAUCCCCUUUCUGCUAGGGCCAGGGUCCUGUUACUACAGGUAUUUUUUAAACAGAAAUCCCUGUCACCAGCUAGAUUCUUUCCCCAGAGCUCCAGUAAGCCCCUGAGCAGCACUCUUCUUGGUAGCAGGAAAUAAGAGGUCAGGGUACACCUCCAUAAUUACCUCAGUUACCCUCCAUCAGCUGCAGCUGCUUCCAAGGGCAGCAGAGCCAGAGGUGCCUGCUUGCCAACAGCUGGUCAUCCCAAGCAGCCCUAGCUGGAUCCUAACCUGCCCAUUCCCACAGGUGACGUCAGCUCACCCUUCACCAAAGACUAGGGCCUUAUCCAUCCUGCCCUGAGCCACUUAUCAAACAACCCUACCCUGCCCAGCAAUAAAGCACCAGAGAGGAAUCAAUUUUUAUUGCUGCUUCUAGUUCUGCUCAGUAAAUAAUGUGACUGCCUGCUGAUCUGCCUUAGAGACAAGUGGGCAAGGUUGGAAAAAGCAGGAUUGAUUCCACCCAAAUGUCAGUCCCUUUCAGAUCUAGGAUGGCUCAUUUCAAACCCCUGCUGCUUCAGGCUCCUUCCCCAACACUCCUGACUGAGGCCAAGACAGCAGAUCAAAGUCCUUUCACCAGCUUGCUCACGCCCAUUUAAAACAGACACUCCAGGAAGGGACUCAGCCACCACCACGGAAAGGUACUGCACUGGCUCUGCUCCCAUCCAUGCUGGUGGUUGGAAUCAGCCACAAAGCCAGAGAUAUCAAUUCUGAGAUGAGUCUAGGACUUAUAAAAAACCUCCUCUGGCAGACAGGACUUCACACCCACACAGCUGAGCAUGGAAGGCCCUGCUGCAGGCAAGGACUGCCAGAAACAGCUUCCCCAUUCACCCUGUGCUCCCUCCACUCACCACGAUGUGGGAGGUGGCAGCACAUGCUCCCUCCUGCUCCUACAUCCCUUUUAGCACAACCCCCCUCAGCAGAUCUGGGACUACAGGAAUUUCAAAGGAAACUGGUGAAGGGAAGGACUUUGUUUACAACUGGAAGUGAUUUCUGGUUGACAGACUCCCUCAAAAGAUGAGAAAAAGCCAUGAAGCUUUAAACACAGGAAUAAUCUUAACUCACAGCAUCAGCCCCACUCCAGUGCAGCCUCAAUGACUCUGUGGCUCUUAGUGGUGGUCCAACAGACCACACAGGCUGAGGAUGGAGUUGGGGGUAUAAAUGUGGACUAACAAUUGGUAGCUCACAGUGCUAGGCAAUGAGCAGCCCUGCCCAGGGCUGGGAAUAUCAAGGAGUAUUCCCAAUGGUCUUGAAGCUGUAAAGGUUUCAUUGCCCACUCCUCGCUCACGCACUGCAUGCCCAUCUGCUCAAGGAGCUCCAAUUCUUGACACCCAGAGUUUCUCCACUGCCCUGGGGCAAAGGCUUUCCCUGUUCACCUGAAACAUACACCUCCCUUCCCUCAGCAAAGAGCAGAGCCUGGUACUGCCAUGCCUGCCUCUAAUCCCUGCCGCCUGUGAGGAGAGCUUGGCCCUGCCUGCACAGCUCCAUGAGAACUCAAAUAGAUUAGUGUUAAUACUGGCUUUUAGGGGAAAAUCAAGGCUCAAAGAGCCUGGGAGAACAGCUGCCAAGCCACCAGCAUGCUGGAUGCAGAACUGAAAGUUACGGAGGAAAAAGGAAAUAGACAGUUUCCACCUCCUGUGGGGGAGCAGCUCCCCCAGCAGUCACUGCUGUGCAAGGGGUGCAAGGAACCACGGGUGGUCACAGAACUUGGAUUUUGUGCGAUGUAACAGCAUGGGAGUCCAUUCCAAAGCACCCACAGUCCUGCUGUGCAGGUCUGUCAUGACACCUGGUGGCCAAAGGCAUCCCUGCAGCACCUGCCACCAGCCCACCCCUUUUCUUCUGAAUCCUAGAUGAAUGAUCUCAUUUCCAUUAGCCUAAGGCGAGGGCAGGAACAAGGCAAGGGAAUGUGGUCAAGACACACUGAGCAUCUCUGAGCCUUCCCCAGUCUCAGCAGCAGCUCAGAGUUCUCUGUGCUGUGCAGCUUCAUGUCCCUGUCCCACUUCUGUUUGCAGCAGAGUGCAGCCUGGGUGGAGCGAGCUUUGCAGAGCUACAACAGGGACAUGUGGAGAAGAAACUCACUACAAAAGCCUACCAGACCUUCCUGAUGCCUGAGAGCUGGGCCAGGAUUUCAUUAUUGCAAUCAUAUUUACACUCCAAGCUAGCUCCCACCCUGGUGAAGACCCAACCUCCAUAUCCACUCUGGGAGCCAGGCUUCACCUAUAUGUUUAUUAUAUAUACACAUCCCGGAAAAACAAGGGAGCUCUUCCCACUGCACGGUUCUCUUGAAUGGCUGUCCAUGCUGCUUGGUCAGGCUGCAACAUCACUCUUCCCAUGGACUCACAUCUGUGUCAAUGGCCACACAGUUAUAGGCAGCAUAGCGCAACUUCUCUUCACACACCUUGGCUCUAGGGAUGGCAGAAGGGGAAAAAAAAUAAAGAUAAGGAGGAGUUUCCACUGCUGCAUUUGCCAGCUGAGAGGACAAAAUGUUCACCAGCUGCUCACAGAGAGAAUCUCAACAGCCAUAUGGGACAGGCAGGAGAUGUAAGUGUGGCCCUAUGGGUCAGCACCAAGGUUAAGAAGAGAGCCCAGACACACAGUCUCCCAGACACAGGGAAGCACCAAAACUUACGUGGGAUAGUUGGGCAAGAAGAGAGUGCUGGAGCAGGUGGAUGACUCCGGCAAAGCAUCUGUCGUCUCAGAGCUUGGGGAGAUGGUGACAAACUGGUUAGAACCAGCAGGCCAGUGAGGCAGUGGAGAUGAGAUCACACAUCCCUUUGGCAUGGGAUCUGUCAGCCUUGCAGCCUACAGAAGAAUGGACUUACCCCAUUUUGUCUGGAUAGAUGUAGAUCCGUGCUGGAAGGCGGCUUCUGCCAGUGACAAAUCUAAGGAAGCGGCUGCGAUCCUCUGUGAAGGAAAAGCAAAGGUAUCAGCAAACCCUAGAGGGAUGUACAGCUGCUUCCAGGUAUCCCCAGUGCUAGCAAGCAGUCCCUUCAGCCCAGCUGCUUGCUCUCCUUGGCUCCCAGCUGUUCCCCAGGCAGCAAUGAGGGUUGGUUUCACCUUCCCAGUUCCCAGCCAGCAUGCAGGAGCUGUCAUGGCAUGAGAUGCAGGGACAGAGCAAAGCGCUCACCGUUGGUGAAGUUGUUGAGUGCUUCCCAGAAGUACUGAACACGGGUGUCCUGUGGCUCAAAGUCCUCAAACCGGGCUGGCAGAAAGGACACAGAAAGGAGUUUAUUGAAGAUCCCAGCUCCUUCUUUGCUAGCACCUCUGGGUGCCCACAGGGUGUGAGCACAUAGACCCAAGGUGCAAGGGACACAUGCAGACAGAUCCCUGUGGAUCAACCAGAUCCACAUAUCAGCUCCACAGGGGCUCGGAUACUGGCAGCGUAGGGAUGUCCCAGCCUCUACUCUGAGGCCCAGCAUGGAGUCAACAGACACCUCUGCCCCCAUCAGCACCCAGCUAAAGCCAGGAAGUACACAGGCCCACGCUGUCACUGUAAUAAAGGCUAACACCAGCCUCCCACAGCUCUCCUUGUCCCAGCACAGACAGAAGACAGUCUUGUUUUCAGGAAAAGAAUUUUCAGCAGAGCCCUUCACUUACUGAGCUUCUUCAGGGCAUCAACUGUGACUUCAGGGUCUCCACAGACCUUUUUUUCCAGUUCCUGCCAUGUAAGGAGGUCAAGAACAGCUUGGGGCACCACCUUCAGCAGCCCAGCCUGCAUGGCCAUGAUCUGAAAAGGAGACAGGGCAGGUAAGCAGCAUGUCUUGCCCAUUUCUCUGACUCAUGGCUGAGCCUAGGGACUCUACUGGAUGUAAGCCAUAUGAUUGCUCAGCAAACGCUCCAAGGAACCUGAAGAAGGGGACAAAAUCCCAGAGAGAUGCAUCCCAGUUCAUUCAGGAAGCCUGUGUCAGAGCUGGAAUAAAAACCCAUAUCACCCACGCUGCUACAAGCCACUCUGCUUCUGAACAACUCCAUCGGCUCCAGAACCUCACCAGAAGGGUUGGCUACCAUUGCACUAGUGAGCACAGGGACACCAACCACGAUGCAUUUUACCAGAAGCAGACUGGCGGGGUGUCUCUGGGAACUGAUGACCACCAACACUAUGGGACAGCAUUACCUGCUCCUUGCUCUCCUCCAGCCGAGCCUUCUGCACCAGGCGGAUGAACUCCUUGCGGUCCUCGUAGCGCACCACGGUGUUGCUGCCGUUGGGGAUCAGCUCCACCGCGUGCUGGUCGCUCAGCACUGUUGUGUAGGUCAGCUCGCUCCCAAAUUUGAACUCAAAGGUGUCUUUGUCCAUGACUUCCAUCAUGUCCAGGAGCUUCACCUGCCCAGGCCCCAAAUAAGUGCUUGUUAGAGAGACGCCCAGUGAGCAGUGAUGUGCCCAGGUCCCCGUCUCCUCCCUUCCCAGACAAGUGACAGUGACACAGCAUGGGAUAUGCUGCUGUAGAGCUGUUUAGCAGACCCUGGGCCACUGCAUGCUUAAAGCAGCAGUCAGUAUGGCUGCAUCUCUAUAUUAGCAUUAGAUGCACCCUAUAGCUAAGAACUGCCCUUUGUUGCGUGUGUUUCUUUGACAGAUCACAGGAGGAAGCAAGUACAUGAGGACAGGGACACAAAUCACCACACUGCUGAGUGCCACAAGGAACAGGAUAAGAACUGGGAGGCUGUGCCUCUCACCAACAUAGAGUCCACAGCAGGGAAGUCUUUGCUCCAGCUGACCUCCUCCCCUGUUAACUGUUUCCAUACGAAGCCAGGAAGAGCCAGGACCUGAAGGAGAACAGAAAUUUUGCUGAGUCUGUGUGAAAAUGAGACAUCCCCAAAGAAGGACAUAGGGCUCAACAACACAGACACAAAGCAGCUUCCCUGCUCCCCCUGUCCACAUGCAGAGUUCAUCAUAGCUAAGCAGAGACCAGGCACUGUCUCCCAAGCUCUCAGCAGCAUCCCCCAAGACUCAGCCUCUGAGUUCUCCAAAUCCCUCAGCCUCAAACCCUGUCAAACACCUUUAGUCCCAGUGUUUGACACAGAGCCUUCGCAUACUCCUGUCAGGCAGGCUGCAGGAGGGGGCUAACAACUCCCUUUGCAGCAGAUCUCGCAGGGAUGGUGUUGAAAGCUUACCAGAAACUCCUUGCCCCUCAGAGCUGCUCCCAUGAUCUGCCCAAUCCACUCAUACUUUGGGAAGUCUUUACAGGAUGGGUUGGGGACAUACAUGUCCCUGGCUUCUCCAGUGCCGUUACCCUACAGGAGUGGGAGGCAAAACUCCAAGUCAUGAUCUCAGCACAGCAUGAAACACCAUAGACCAUUCCUGCCAUGCCUCUGGGCACUUCUCACAGCAGAAGUGGGCUAACCCCCCAUCCUCCUUGACCAUAUUCCCAGUGAGAGACCAGUCAGUAUCCAGGCACUUGUUAGCAUAUUCUAAAAUGAGAUGCCACAAAACAAUUUACCCAACCCUUCACAACAAAAAGCUUCGGACCAGCCGAAGCAGGUAUGUCCCUGGCAUGCAAGGGGACAGGGACAGCACUGCAUUACCAGGCCCAGAAGGGUCUGUCCCAGAUAUCCCGACCCAUUGCACCUGGUUGGAUGUGCGCACAAAGAAGGGCAAAGGCACAGGGGUCUCUGCUGAGCUGGGGCACAGCUCCUCCGACAUGUCCGCCAGGCUGUCCCGAAAACCACCACCUGCAACCCCAAGAGAAGGACGUUUUUAGAGAUGUGAACUCCUCAUGUGCUGACCCUGUUAUGGAGGAAAGAUGAGGAAUCCUGGUCCAACCUGGUCCUGGGUUUAGCAGAAAGCUCCUGUCAGAGCCUUAUGGCACCAGAGGAAAUAAGACAGGAGAAAUAACAUCCCUGCCUGGCCUGGGGAGGACAGCCAGAAGGAGCACUGGCACUGGUAAAGCUGUUGUUAGUGACUAAUGGAGGUCUGAUCCCCAUCCCAGCAAGCAGCAUCUAGGAAAUGGCUGGGAGCAGCAGGACAAGGCAACCUGCCUUCCCUCUCUGCUCCAUGGGCAGUAACACUGGGAGCAAACAAGAGCCCCUACAGGAACAGUCAGCUCAUCAACCCCAACUGCUCCAGAGGAGCCCCACGCCGUCCCUACCUUGGUCGAUGAUGCCCUCUGCGAUGAACUUGCACUCCCACCACUGGUCGUAACGCAACGGCCACCUGCAGAAAGCCAGGCCUUGCCUGAGGUGCUGCUCAAAGCCAAGGAGGUGCUGGGAAAGCAGCAGGCACAGCAGAAACACCAGGGGACUACAGUGGAACAGCCUGGGCUUAGGACAGGACAAGAUCUCAAUCUCCAGAGACAGCUGCAUCCUCAGUAGGGAGGUGACACCUUGGGCAACAGGCCCUCAUCCCAUGGCUGAACUGGCUCCUGUCCUAGCAAAACCUCUCCAGAGCACAGGACACACAAAGGCUUCCCAAAUGCUCUGCUGUGACAGAGGACAUAGCUCCCAGCACUGCAUGAUGCCCCCUCUCAUCCAGACACCACUUACCUAUAAUCUAGAGGCUUUUCAAACUUGUCUGAGGGUUUCAGGCCUUCAUAUACCUGCAACAAGCAGAGAAGAUCAAGGCUGGUAUCCCUUCUCCAGGGAAACUAGUGCCAGGUGAAGGCAGGAAAUUGGAAGAAAUCUGGUUUGCCCCAAACCAUUAAAUACUGACUGAAGCUGA